GAUGAACGCUGGCGGCGUGCCUAAUACAUGCAAGUCGAGCGAACAGACGAGGAGUUUGCUCCUCUGACGUUAGCGGCGGACGGGUGAGUAACACGUGGAUAACCUACCUAUAAGACUGGGAUAACUUCGGGAACCCGGAGCUAAUCCCGGAUAAUAUAUUGAACCGCAUGGUUCAUUAGUGAAAGACGGUUUUGCUGUAACUUAUAGAUGGAUCCGCGCCGCAUUAGCUAGUUGGUAAGGUAACGGCUUACCAAGGCAACGAUGCGUAGCCGACCUGAGAGGGUGAUCGGCCACACUGGAACUGAGACACGGUCCAGACUCCUACGGGAGGCAGCAGUAGGGAAUCUUCCGCAAUGGGCGAAAGCCUGACGGAGCAACGCCGCGUGAGUGAUGAAGGUCUUCGGAUCGUAAAACUCUGUUAUUAGGGAAGAACAAAUGUGUAAGUAACUAUGCACGUCUUGACGGUACCUAAUCAGAAAGCCACGGCUAACUACGUG
rnacentral:rRNA from 1 species